ACACUGCAUUGGAGAGACCAGAGCCCGGCUGGUUGGCCAGAGCUGGUGAAAGAGUUGUUCACAGGGAAUUUCUCCACAUCACCACUUCCCCUGUUAAAGACUCCAUGAUGGAGUGGGAUUCCCCACUCGCGUUUUCCAUUACACCUGUCUUAAAAUUGUUUUCUUUUUUCUUGCAAAUAUCUGUCAAAUAUCCCUGGGCAUGUGUGAGGCUUAUGGUCACCCUUAAAGCCUAAGCCGUCUUGAGAGGAGUGUCAAUGAUAUCACGGUGGGGGCGGGGGCAUGUGUGUCUAUAAGUACAUGCACAACACAGGGAAACCUCUCUAUGAAUAGAGCUGAGCUGUGCUGACAACAAGAUAUUGUAGGCGAGCAAGCAAGAGCAGACGGGUGUACUUCUUGGUGCACAGACUCUGAACUGUGGAUACAUUUUUUAUCCUGGAGCUGACAAACAAGACUUCUUUCUUCUAGGAACUUUGGAUGGUCGAUCAAACACAACGUUUUACCUCUACAAUUCUUCAUUCCUUUGGAAGGUUUUUAGAAGUUUGUCUCUUUUUGUUCAUCUGCUGUAAUCAAGAUGCUUAGCAUUGUUACUUUGCAGCAGAUCAUUUCCACCCUGUUUGUGCUCGGCAGUGCUACAGUGAUGGCAGAGAGGGAGUGCCCGGCGGAGUGCUCCUGCACCCCCUUGCCCAAGCCAUGCCCGCAAGGUGUCAGCUGGGUGACCGACCACUGCGGCUGCUGUAAAGUUUGUGCUCGGCAGUUUAAUGAGGACUGCAGCGCCACCGAACCUUGCGAUCACAUCAAGGGGCUACGCUGCCAUCUGGGGGCUGGAGGAGACCCUGAGAGAGGACUGUGUCGAGCUGCGGCCCAGGGUUUGCCCUGCGAGUUUGGCGGGCGGGUGUACCAGCAUGGCGAAGACUUCCAGCCCAACUGCCAGCACCAGUGCACCUGUAUGGACAGGGUGGUGGGCUGCAUGCCCCUCUGUCCUCACCAAUUGCCACUGCCCGACUGGCGUUGCAUGCGGCCCCGGCUGGCCAGGCCCGAGGGCGGCUGCUGUGAGGACUGGGUGUGUGAUGACAGCAACCACAUCAGUGAGGAGCCAGACGAGCUGACACACACCUCCCUGCCAGACAGCGAGCCCCUUCCCAACCACAUCAGUGCCUUGUUUCAUGCCCAGCCGCAGCCUCGGCACCCAGCUGCCACCGGAGGGGCCACGUUCAGAGAAAUGGUGUCCUUCCCCAUGUCUGAGGUUUUACUCAAAUCCAGCUGUCUCCCACAAAUCACAGAGUGGACCGACUGUUCCACCCCAUGUGGGAUGGGUAUUUCAAGUCGAGUGACCAAUAACAACCCAGACUGUCGGCUGGUCAGAGAAACCAGACUGUGCCAGAUCCGUCAAUGUGAGCUGCAGCUCCUUGCAGCUAGCAAGAAGGGGAAGAAGUGUCAGCGAACUGUCCGCCCCCAGGAACCAGUCACAAUCACUUUUGCGGGAUGCUCAACGACACAGCGAUACCGCCCUCGCACCUGUGGGACUUGCACUGAUGACCGUUGCUGCACACCCACCCUCUCCCGCACUGUGCGGCUCCGCUUCCACUGCCCUGACGGAGAGGGCUUCUACAGAAACGUCAUGUGGAUCCUGCGCUGCAGCUGCAAUACAAGCUGUCGUAUACCAAGCGGGCCCUCCAGCCCUUCAGUCAGCCUCCACAACGACAUCCACAUCUUCGGACACUGAGGCUGACGCUUCAUGCCCAGUGCUGGCCUGGCACACUGGGCAAAGACUCUGCCCCAUCCACCCAACACCACCACCAACCCCCACUCCUGCCACCCUCCUUCCCAACAAGGCAAUACACUCGCUUGCACUUUAAGCUUCCUGCCACAAUGACAUCAGUUUGUCCACACUAGAAGUGUGUUACUUCUCUAGUACCAGGGCAGCACUGAGGACAGCACACUGGAGUAUGCUGCUGUGUGACUGUUGGCAACGAGCUUUUACUGAAACUUCUUUUAUUUAAUUGUAAUUUUGUAUCCUCCAUGCAGAGGGCAAGGUGAGAAUUUAUCAUACAGAAAGAAGUUUUUUUAGAUCAGUAAUAGAGAACAUUUAUGAGAAGUGAUGUGAAUUAUGGACAUGCAUUUUGAAUGAUGAGGAAGAACUAGAUGACUUAACACAGUCAUUAGAGACUAGAGGCUUUGUGUUCUUUAUUGCCUGUCCUCUGUGAUAAAAUGUUUAUCUGUGUGUGUGCAUGUGUGUGUGUGUGUGUGUGUGUGUGUGUGUGUGUGUGUGUGUGUGUGUGUGUGUGUG